rnacentral:rRNA from 1 species
GAUGAACGCUGGCGGCGUGCCUAAUACAUGCAAGUCGAGCGAACGGACGAGAAGCUUGCUUCUCUGAUGUUAGCGGCGGACGGGUGAGUAACACGUGUAUAACCUACCUAUAAGACUGGGAUAACUUCGAGAAACCGGAGCUAAUACCGGAUGAUAUUUUGAACCGCAUGGUUCAAAAGUGAAAGACGGUCUUGCUGUCACUUAUAGAUGGAUCCGCGCUGCAUUAUCUAGUUGGUAAGGUAACGGCUUACCAAGGCAACGAUGCAUAGCCGACCUGAGAGGGUGAUCGGCCACACUGGAACUGAGACACGGUCCAGACUCCUACGGGAGGCAGCAGUAGGGAAUCUUACGCAAUGGGCGAAAGCCUGACGGAGCAACGCCGCGUGAGUGAUGAAGGUCUUCGGAUCGUAAAACUCUGUUAUUAGGGAAGAACAUAUGUGUAAGUAACUGUGCACAUCUUGACGGCACCUAAUCAGAAAGCCACGGCUAACUACGUG